CCCACACAGAUCCUGAUGCCAUUCAGUAAUAGUUGUUGUCAUCUCUCUCAGGUCCAAGUCCAGGUCUCGCAUGUCACUUUUCGGACCAUGAAUUGAUUCCUUUCAGAUUACAUUCUGCUAGAAUGCCAUGUGAUGACAAGAUCCCUGUCAUGGAAGUCAACAACUAGUCGGCAUUGUCAGAUAAAUAUCAAUGAUGCAUCAUUUACGUGAUCGGCUGACUGUG
rnacentral:lncRNA from 1 species